AAGCAGAGUCCAGGUGGCAGUAGGCAGCCAGAACCAGACCGAUCCAGUUUCUGAUAACCUGAACAGGACUACAAAGGAUUUUGCUGACAAACUGUAUACUGAUAAAUCUGAGGUUUCGCACAUUCCUGCAACAUCUGGCGACACUGAAAAGAUGACAAAUGAGCAAAUCCAGAGUCCG